AUUGAGAUGGCCGAGUUGGUCUAAGGCGCCAGUUUAAGGUUCUAGUCCAAACGGGCGUGGGUUCAAAUCCCACCCUCAACA
rnacentral:tRNA from 1 species